rnacentral:misc_RNA from 1 species
GAUGAAGAACGCAGCGAAAUGCGAUAAGUAGUGUGAAUUGCAGAAUUCAGUGAAUCAUCGAAUCUUUGAACGCACAUUGCGCCCUUUGGUAUUCCUUAGGGCAUGCCUGUUCGAGCGUCAUUUAAACCUUCAAGCUAAGCUUGGUGUUGGGUGACUGUCCGCUUCACGGCGGACUCGCCUCAAAAUUAUUGGCGGCCGGUACAUUGGCUUCGAGCGCAGCAGAAACGCGAACUCGGGCCCGUCGUAUUGGCUCCCAGAAGCUAUCUUCACAAUUUUGACCUCGGAUCAGGUAGGGAUACCCGCUGAACUUAAGCAUAUCAUAGCGGAGGA